rnacentral:rRNA from 1 species
UACGUAGGGUGCAAGCGUUGUCCGGAAUUAUUGAGCGUAAAGAGCUCGUAGGCGGUCUGUCGCGUCGGCUGUGAAAACCCGGAGCUCAACUCCGGGCCUGCAGUCGAUACGGGCAGACUGGAGUUCGGCAGGGGAGACUGGAAUUCCUGGUGUAGCGGUGAAAUGCGCAGAUAUCAGGAGGAACACCGGUGGCGAAGGCGGGUCUCUGGGCCGAUACUGACGCUGAGGAGCGAAAGCGUGGGGAGCGAACAGG